UACGGAGGGUGCAAGCGUUAUCCGGAUUUACUGGGUUUAAAGGGUGCGUAGGUGGACAGGAAAGUCAGUGGUGAAAUCUUCGAGCUUAACUCGGAAACUGCCAUUGAUACUAUUUGUCUUGAAUACUUUGGAGGUAAGCGGAAUAUGUCAUGUAGCGGUGAAAUGCUUAGAUAUGUCAUAGAACACCAAUGGCGAAGGCAGCUUACUACACUGUAAUUGACACUGAGGCGCGAAAGCGUGGGUAUCAAACAGG
rnacentral:rRNA from 1 species